rnacentral:rRNA from 1 species
UUCUCUCGCCAAACCACCUUGACAGUGCCCAGUCUCGUCUGAUCUUGGAAGCUGAGCGGGGUUGGGGUUGGUUUUUGCUCGGAUGGGGGACUUCCGGGAAUUCCAGAUGUCACAGUGA